rnacentral:piRNA from 1 species
UGUCAAGUUACCAUUAAACUAGCCAGAGCA